rnacentral:snoRNA from 1 species
GGGCAUACCCGUAGACCUUGCCUGACUGUGCUCAUGGCCAGGCAGGGGGGACAUUGUAUGCGAGAUUAAUUUGAAGUUCCUUUUUUUUUU